GGAGAAUGCUCUGGGAGAGAAGCAUCCCUGGAGACAGCCUUCCUUUCAGCAGCACAUGGCAAAGCUCUGAGUUUUCCCCUUCAGUGGGAGGCACAGGAGAUAUUUUGGACUGCAAGCUGUGGCUUUAAAAAACCCACCCAGCAGUGAUUUGAGGUUUUGUUCCUGAAGCCUUCCUGACUUUGAACAUAAAUUGCGUCUGUUUUGGUAAGCAGGCUCCCAGCAAGCCAGACCUGUUCCUGGGAUUACUGUAACCACAGGUAUAGCUGUUUCUUUUCCACAUGGGAUGACUUAGGCCCCUGUUCUCUGCCAUUGUGUGGUUGGAUUUUACCUUCAUCCACGUCGUGGCAUUUUGGAAAGAGCUGCUUGUUUUACAGAGCAGCUGUGUUGUCUUAAUGCAGCUGUAAUGUGUGUUUGUCUUGGGGCACAGCAGGACUAGGAAAAGGUUUUAUUAGAUCAUUCCCAAGUCCCAAUAAUCUCUGAGUGUCUCUCAGAUCUGUGGCUGUCAGCUGUGCUGCUCUCGCUCCGUGGGACGGGGUUGGAAGCUGAAGAUGGGAAAUCACUUGCGUGUGAUCCUUUAUCUGCUUCAUCUUGGAGUUACCGCUCCCCCCGUGGCUGUUUGGAGCAGCCAGAGAGGACUUAAUUCUUGUAUCCCAGACCUUAAACCACAGCCUAACAGGCUCCAAGGGAUCCUCCCUGCCUGGGGCAUUGUUUGUGGGACUGCUGGUGGCUCUGCAGCCUGGAUCCCAAGGAGCAUUCCCAUCCCAUCACCACUGCCUGCCAACAUCGAGAUCACGGCCACUCAGGGAGUUGGACAUCAUGGAGCUGGACACACACCAGGGUAGGUAAUGGAUGUGAUCCCCAAAAUUGGAAAAGCCAGCGUGAAAACUCUGACUCAGCCUGAAGGCUCUGCACUAGAGGAGGGAGACUUUCCCAACCAGAGGCAAACCAGGCAAGCUGUAUUUUCUGCUUCAUCCCAGAGAGCUGCUCCUGGCCUGGCUUGGAGCAGUGUCCUCACUCUGCUUCUCCCUCUGUGCCAGCUCAUGUCUUUGCUAUCCCUGAGCUGCUGCCUGAGCCA
rnacentral:lncRNA from 1 species